rnacentral:rRNA from 1 species
UACGUAGGGCGCAAGCGUUGUCCGGAAUUAUUGGGCGUAAAGAGCUCGUAGGCGGCUUGUCACGUCGAUUGUGAAAGCCCGAGGCUUAACCUCGGGUCUGCAGUCGAUACGGGCUAGCUAGAGUGUGGUAGGGGAGAUCGGAAUUCCUGGUGUAGGCGGUGAAAUGCGCAGAUAUCAGGAGGAACACCGGUGGCGAAGGCGGGUCUCUGGGCCGAUACUGACGCUGAGGAGCGAAAGCGUGGGGAGCGAACAGG